rnacentral:rRNA from 1 species
AGCGGCGGACGGGUGAGUAACGCGUGGGAAUAUGCCCUUCUCUAAGGAAUAGCCUCGGGAAACUGAGAGUAAUACCUUAUACGCCCUUCGGGGGAAAGAUUUAUCGGAGAAGGAUUGGCCCGCGUUAGAUUAGGUAGUUGGUGGGGUAAUGGCCUACCAAGCCUACGAUCUAUAGCUGGUUUGAGAGGAUGAUCAGCCACACUGGGACUGAGACACGGCCCAGACUCCUACGGGAGGCAGCAGUAGGGAAUCUUAGACAAUGGGGGAAACCCUGAUCUAGCCAUGCCGCGUGUGUGAUGAAGGCCUUAGGGUCGUAAAGCACUUUCGCCAGAGAUGAUAAUGACAGUAUCUGGUAAAGAAACCCCGGCUAACUCCGUGCCAGCAGCCGCGGUAAUACGGAGGGGGUUAGCGUUGUUCGGAAUUACUGGGCGUAAAGCGUACGUAGGCGGAUUAGUAAGUUAGAGGUGAAAUCCCAGGGCUCAACCCUGGAACUGCCUUUAAUACUGCUAGUCUUGAGUUCGAGAGAGGUAAGUGGAAUUCCGAGUGUAGAGGUGAAAUUCGUAGA